CCGAGUAUUUCCUUACUCCGAGCCUAUUGGUACAUGCGAUUCUGGUAACGGAAAGGUGUGGAGCUACCAAGACAAUGAAGCUUGACUGCAAAGUCUAGGUGAAUCCGUGAGGAUAACCGAACUCUCCCAGCAUCAGGGGGUAUAAGCU
rfam:Freshwater sediment metagenome lwFormaldehyde_BHFI8762_b1, whole genome shotgun sequence.